rnacentral:lncRNA from 1 species
GUAAACCGCAGGUAGCGCCUCGGAGACCGAUGGCUCCGUGCACCUGUCCACAAAGGCGUCCACACGCCGCGCCUCUGCCUUCCGAGGCCCGGCCCCGGUGCGGGCGGCUCCCCAGUUCGACCUGCCCCUAACCUGCCCCUCGGGAUGCGGACAGGCUGCGGGCUCACAUGGUGCCAGCCUGAGUGGUGCUUGCAAGUAGCUGCCCACAUCAAAAGGCUGUGAGGCCACAUGAAAUGCCAACAUUUACCCAGACUUCGUUGGAAGAUGUGGCAGCUGAGAGCCUCAAACCAGCAUCAGCCUCCGCCAGGGGAGCAGAGUCCCCCAGAGAAUGGGUGUAGACCCGCAUCUACCCUAACCGCAUAUAUUCGAAGCGGCCCAGGCCAAGCGGACCUCCUAAAGUGGAAUUUGAAAAUUCUUCUUACCUCUUGCUGCCGAGUGUAUUUUCAUUAAUUUCACCUCAAUGUCGUGACGUAAAAGCUAGUGGAAUCGGCCCCAAGCUAAAUAAGCAAUAAGCCCCAUUUUUCAGCACACAAACACAUAAAGAUGUCAGCUCAAACUGUUUACUAAUUAACACUUAAAAAGACACAAAUUAGAUAUGCGUGGCUAAGAGCAAUUAUAAUCAAGACGAAUUUCUCUAGUCAUUUGGGAACUGAAAAAAAACGCCUAAUUGCUGGAACCAAUGUUUUAAAAACUGAAAUCACGCCAGUUAGCAAAUAUGUUCAUUUAAAGAACAUUCCACGUGACUACACUCUGGAGGAUUGACUACAAACAGGAGAACAAGGAAAAUAUUUAGGUAUAAAAUUAAAAUUUUAAGCUCCCUUAGAUUUAUAACUUCUUCAUUAAAUAUGUCGGCAAACAGCAGCCCAUAAAAACCUGUAGCAAUUAAGUGGUUAAAUGAAUUCCCUCCCUUGUCAAUUUUAAGGGAGUGAUUAGUGUGAGAUUGUCCUUUUUCUAAUUAGAAGCUCCCUCCUCCUUCAGCUUCCGAGUCCAAUGAAAAUGGAGGUGCCCCGCUCGCCAGGAAGCAGGUAGGCUAAGCCUCGUUUUCCGAGGUGCGCACCCUGCUUUUGGGGGAGCUGGGCGGGCUAGAAGGCGGCUCUCGGCGCAGUUCAGCGCGGCCCUGGCG